rnacentral:pre_miRNA from 1 species
AAAAAGACAAACCCUGGUUUUCGUAUCCAAUGUUUGACCGUUCGUCUUAUUUAAAAAAAUUAUGAAAAAAAUAAAAAGACAAGUUACGCAUAAAAUAUUAAUCAUGUUUUAUCAUCUAACAACAAUGAAAAUAUGAAUUAUAAAAAAAUUUCAUAUAAGACGGAUAGUCAAAGUUGGACACGAAAACCUAGGGUUUGCCUUUUU